rnacentral:lncRNA from 1 species
CUUGCUGCCUUGACUUUUUCCUUCAUCUUUGACCCUAGGCUAGUCCUAGUGGUCUCCUGAGCUUACAAUUGAGUUGUUGUUUCAGGUUGAGCACCCAUGCUUUAAGGAUCACUCAAAUGUGAUUGAAUUUGAUUGUUUGCUACAUGCUAACCCUUGUUUUGUAGGUGACUCAUAUGCUUGAGUCUUUGUGCCUUGCACAAUUGGUCCCACUGUGUGACUUUUGGUUUAUUUCCUUUGAUUUUGACUGUUGACUUGUUUACUAAUGAGUUUGACUUUUUCAGGUGCUUUAGUUGCCUAAGUUCUUUGAACUUGAUUGCUUGCUUUGCUAUUUAGCAUUUGCUUUGAGGUAUAAAUACUUCUUCUUCAUGUAGUCUGGAGACCCGGUCUGUUAUUUGACCGGGCAAACUGUCUGAAGUCCUCCUUAAGAGGCAAUGCCUGUGUUUGUUUAUAUUUGUCCUAAGCAGGAAAAGUCCUUCAAGUAAGGCAAUUGGUGGAAGGUAGGGAUAAGCAAUCUAUCCCCCACUAUUCAGUGUGUCCUCUCUUUGCUCCCAUUACAUGGUUGAAGCAAUGAGAUAAA